rnacentral:sRNA from 2 species
GCCCCGUUUUCAAUUCCUUGUACAGUUCAGGGUACAGAUUUGCUAGCUCCUCGUCGACGUCGCGGUCCAGAACAAGAGAGAAGACUGGCGCGUUUGUGUAGACUGUAGCAUAACCGACCAACAGCCAGUUGAUAAACAGCCCCUUGGGGUCGAAGUGGCCCGCAAUGCUGUACAUGGUCUGGCAAGCGCUGAUGAUUAAACCGCGGUGCAUGAUAAACUGAGCGAGUUUGGCAGAGCGUUUGUAUGAAUUUCGCCCGUGCCAGACAAGAAGCUUUGUGAGGUGAUGGAAUUGUGUUAUGCUGAAGUCGGCAGCCAGUGAGGCCUGUCGACCUUCCUUGCCGAUAAUUCCAAUACCGACAUCUGCGGCCUGGAUCAUGGAGACAUCAUUCCCGCCAUCGCCGAUGCAGCAGAUGCGUUUUUUGGUAUGUUCCCUGAUUAAACAGGCGAUCUCGGCUUUCUGUGUUGGGGAGCAGCGGCAGGCAAUCACGGCAGGGAGAAGUACGGCGAUUGAUAUGAAGGGAGUACGGAAUUGGGAAAGUAAAAGGGCAAGCGAUUCACCGUCGAUCAGAAGGCACGAAUCCGUUUUGUUCCGGAGGAAGUCGAGCGUUUCCUGGGCAGACCCUUUGCCUUUUAGCUUGGUGACAGUGUGGAUAUAUUGGCCUCUUGCAACAAGUUUCGCGGACACGGCCACGCAACGUGCCGUUUCAACUUUAUCACCUGUAAGCAUCCAUAUUUUCACACCUGCGUUACGAAGGAGUUCGAGAGACGGUUUGACGUCCUUCUGGAGCUUGUCCUCAACGCCGGUGACGCCCAGAAGUUCGAGAUUCUGCUCCAGAUAUUGUUGGGCAACUCGUGCCAUUUCGGUGUCUCUGUUCUGUAGGGACAGCGAAGCCUGUUUGUAGCUGGUUGAAAAGUCUCUGUACUGCGCUUGAGAGAGUUUUUUCCUGCCAAUGACCAGAGUACGAAGUCCUUCUCUUCCCAUGUUUGCGGUCUCCUCAUCGAGCCAGUCAUUAGCGGCAACAAUAGAAGACAUGACGGUGUCAGCACCUUUUUGAUAAAACCAAAUCUCCUCAUCCUGCGCUGUUGAUUUGUCCAAAUCGGAACCUUGUUCGAAUAGAACGAUAAUGCCCAUGCGCUUGCUAUCAGAAGUAAAAGGGAAUAUAUCCAGAAUCCGAACACGCACAACAACGUUGCCAGUGUUUACUGACUUGAGAACAAUCCUUUGCCUAUCUCUGUGUACUAACUGGAGUCCCACCUCCUGUGUAUAUUUCACAAUCGCAAUCUCAUCAGGGGACGAAGCCUGAGCGCGAGAGCUAGGAUUAUAUCUCGGACGCGAGAUCCAAUCUCUCGUCGAGUCCGUGUCGUUGAAGCCAAACCAGUGUGAACACCAUUUAUAGUUGUCGGGGUUACGAGCGAUGAUUGGUCAGAGGGGGCUGUAGAGAAGCCUUGCAGAAGAUAAGACGCCACUUCAUCCAUCGCCUCAUUCGCGUAAGAAACCGUUCCGACAUGGAUUUUCUUGAGUUCCAUUUCUAAAAGCGCUGUUAGCUCGGGAUUACUAUUGCAACACUCACAUCAUAUUGCUUACCGUUCUGGGUCAGGGUCCCAGUUUUAUCAGAGAGCAAAUACUCUAUCCUUCCCAGGUCCUCUGGAAUGGUGCUGGUUCUGACAACAGUGCCUGGAAUACCAGCAUCUCGCUCAAUAAACCUCCCAUACACAGACUUCGCCAUGUCCAGGUUAACGCGUAAACUCAUAGGAAUAAUGGUGGAAAAGAGGAUAAGAUAUAUCAUGAUGGCAAUAUACCAUGGCUUAUCGUUCGUACCCUCAAAACCUUGCAGAGCAACAAGAAUUGCGGAGAGGGAUAACGUUAAAACACACAGAAUUUUCGUCAGGCUAUUGAUUUCGUAUUCGAGCAAUCCGACCUUCGAACGAGACGGUGAUGUCGACAUCGCUGAUCGAGUUUGAGCCCCGGUGUAAAUUACUGCGGCGAUUGUUAUUGUGUUUGACGCAAGAACUGUACUGGCCCAAGCAGUGUUGUCGAUUGUAAGAGGAGCCGACUGUCGCUCGGAGAGACUUUGAGGACGACCGUCGGUCGACUGCGGAUUGGUUGCGGAAUGAGCUGUUGCAUCGGUUUUGCUGAUAUGAGGAUCGUAAGAACUAUGAGUAUGGGGUGCUAGAGAAAUAGUUCCAACAAAAUUAUGUACGCUUUUCUCAGGUUCGCCUGCGAUGAUCUGUAUCCUAUGCAGCUCAGAGAUAGGUAAAUUUUGUGUUAGAGGAGAAGG